GUGGCUGUGUGGUGAGAAGCUUGCUUCCCAACCACAUGUCUGGUGAGACGAUUUAGCGUCUAUUUCUCAGCAUAUAGGCUGGGAAAUUUCUUUCUCAGCCCUUAUUAGAAUUAGACAUAUAAUUUCACCUUAAUCCGUUUCCUUUCAUAUGCUGGCCACUGUUAAAAUUUUUU